AGCGUACACGGUGGAUGCCCUGGCAGUCAGAGGCGAUGAAGGACGUGCUAAUCUGCGAAAAGCGCCGGUAAGGUGAUAUGAACCGUUAUAACCGGCGAUGUCCGAAUGGGGAAACCCAGUGUGACUCGUCACACUAUCAUUAACUGAAUCCAUAGGUUAAUGAGGCGAACCGGGGGAACUGAAACAUCUAAGUACCCCGAGGAAAAGAAAUCAACCGAGAUUCCCCCAGUAGCGGCGAGCGAACGGGGAGGAGCCCAGAGCCUGAAUCAGCAUGUGUGUUAGUGGAAGCGUCUGGAAAGGCGCGCGAUACAGGGUGACAGCCCCGUACACAAAAGCGCAUGUGCUGUGAGCUCGAUGAGUAGGGCGGGACACGUGGUAUCCUGUCUGAAUAUGGGGGGACCAUCCUCCAAGGCUAAAUACUCCUGACUGACCGAUAGUGAACCAGUACCGUGAGGGAAAGGCGAAAAGAACCCCGGCGAGGGGAGUGAAACAGAACCUGAAACCGUGUACGUACAAGCAGUGGGAGCCCCACCACUAAGCCAGUGGUGAACUCCACAUACGCAUCCUUUGCGGAAGAUACGGUUAACGGAGCGAAAGCGACGUUCAACCGCAAAAGAAGCAGAGGGGGCUUAGUGGUGGGGUGACUGCGUACCUUUUGUAUAAUGGGUCAGCGACUUAUAUUCUGUAGCAAGGUUAACCGAAUAGGGGAGCCGGAGGGAAACCGAGUCUUAACCGGGCGUUAAGUUGCAGGGUAUAGACCCGAAACCCGGUGAUCUAGCCAUGGGCAGGUUGAAGGUUGGGUAACACUAACUGGAGGACCGAACCGACUAAUGUUGAAAAAUUAGCGGAUGACCUGUGGCUGGGGGUGAAAGGCCAAUCAAACCGGGAGAUAGCUGGUUCUCCCCGAAAGCUAUUUAGGUAGCGCCUCGUGAAUUCAUCUCCGGGGGUAGAGCACUGUUUCGGCCAGGGGGCCAUCCCGGCUUACCAACCCGAUGCAAACUGCGAAUACCGGAGAAUGUUAUCACGGGAGACACACGGCGGGUGCUAACGUCCGUCGUGAAGAGGGAAACAACCCAGACCGCCAGCUAAGGUCCCAAAGUCAUGGUUAAGUGGGAAACGAUGUGGGAAGGCCCAGACAGCCAGGAUGUUGGCUUAGAAGCAGCCAUCAUUUAAAGAAAGCGUAAUAGCUCACUGGUCGAGUCGGCCUGCGCGGAAGAUGUAACGGGGCUAAACCAUGCACCGAAGCUGCGGCAGCGACACUAAGUGUUGUUGGGUAGGGGAGCGUUCUGUAAGCCUGCGAAGGUGUGUCGUGAGGCAUGCUGGAGGUAUCAGAAGUGCGAAUGCUGACAUAAGUAACGAUAAUGCGGGUGAAAAACCCGCACGCCGGAAGACCAAGGGUUCCUGUCCAACGUUAAUCGGGGCAGGGUGAGUCGACCCCUAAGGCGAGGCCGAAAGGCGUAGUCGAUGGGAAACGGGUUAAUAUUCCCGUACCUGGUGUUACUGCGAAGGGGGGACGGAGAAGGCUAUGUUGGCCGGGCGACGGUUGUCCCGGUUUAAGCGUGUAGGCUGGUUUUCCAGGCAAAUCCGGAAAAUCAAGGCUGAGGCGUGACGACGAGGCACUACGGUGCUGAAGCAACAAAUGCCCUGCUUCCAGGAAAAGCCUCUAAGCCUCAGGUAACAUCAGAUCGUACCCGAAACCGACACAGGUGGUCAGGUAGAGAAUACCAAGGCGCUUGAGAGAACCCGGGUGAAGGAACUAGGCAAAAUGGUGCCGUAACUUCGGGAGAAGGCACGCUGACACGUAGGUGAAGUGAUUUACUCAUGGAGCUGAAGUCAGUCGAAGAUACCAGCUGGCUGCAACUGUUUAUUAAAAACACAGCACUGUGCAAACACGAAAGUGGACGUAUACGGUGUGACGCCUGCCCGGUGCCGGAAGGUUAAUUGAUGGGGUCAGCGCAAGCGAAGCUCCUGAUCGAAGCCCCGGUAAACGGCGGCCGUAACUAUAACGGUCCUAAGGUAGCGAAAUUCCUUGUCGGGUAAGUUCCGACCUGCACGAAUGGCGUAAUGAUGGCCAGGCUGUCUCCACCCGGGACUCAGUGAAAUUGAACUCGCUGUGAAGAUGCAGUGUACCCGCGGCAAGACGGAAAGACCCCGUGAACCUUUACUAUAGCUUGACACUGAACACUGGUCCUUGAUGUGCAGGAUAGGUGGGAGGCUUUGAAGUGUGGACGCCAGUCUGCAUGGAGCCGUCCUUGAAAUACCACCCUUUAAUGGCUGGUGUUCUAACGUAGACCCGUGAACCGGGUUGCGGACAGUGUCUGGUGGGUAGUUUGACUGGGGCGGUCUCCUCCUAAAGCGUAACGGAGGAGCACGAAGGUUGGCUAAUCCUGGUCGGACAUCAGGAGGUUAGUGCAAUGGCAUAAGCCAGCUUGACUGCGAGCGUGACGGCGCGAGCAGGUGCGAAAGCAGGUCAUAGUGAUCCGGUGGUUCUGAAUGGAAGGGCCAUCGCUCAACGGAUAAAAGGUACUCCGGGGAUAACAGGCUGAUACCGCCCAAGAGUUCAUAUCGACGGCGGUGUUUGGCACCUCGAUGUCGGCUCAUCACAUCCUGGGGCUGAAGUAGGUCCCAAGGGUAUGGCUGUUCGCCAUUUAAAGUGGUACGCGAGCUGGGUUUAGAACGUCGUGAGACAGUUCGGUCCCUAUCUGCCGUGGGCGCUGGAGAACUGAGGGGGGCUGCUCCUAGUACGAGAGGACCGGAGUGGACGCAUCACUGGUGUUCGGGUUGUCAUGCCAAUGGCACUGCCCGGUAGCUAAAUGCGGAAGAGAUAAGUGCUGAAAGCAUCUAAGCACGAAACUUGCCCCGAGAUGAGUUCU
rnacentral:rRNA from 1 species